rnacentral:lncRNA from 1 species
AUCACAAUCAGUUUUUUCAGUAUCAAGCUUGAAGCCUGCAGCUUUGCUAAUCCACCCAGAAAGAAGUAACAAACUUUCAACUAAAGAACUAAUAGUAAUCCAGUUGCUGAUUAUACCGUAAUUAAUUCCUUUCCUUUCAAAUGAUUAGGACCAUGCAGUGCUAAACCCACCAACCCAUCUGAUGAAAUUUCAACUUCAUUCUUAGAAUGAAAGUAAAUUGACUUAGCAGUAGACAGAUAAAGGUCAAGUCAGGUCAGGUAUCAGGUCGAAAAGGGAUAGAUGAUGGUUUAAGAGGAGACGAUUAAAACCCUAAUCAACCAACGGACUAAAUUUAUAUAUUAAUAAAAAGAAUCUUGAAACUCAAUCCACACUGUAAAAGGAAAGAAUAAAGAACCUAGCUCAGAUGGGACCCUUGAACAGCUAAUUACUAAAGCUUUACCUUAAUUCACAC